rnacentral:rRNA from 1 species
GUCCACGCCGUAAACGAUGAGUGCUAGGUGUAGAGGGUAUCGACCCCUUCUGUGCCGCAGUUAACACAAUAAGCACUCCGCCUGGGGAGUACGGCCGCAAGGUUGAAACUCAAAGGAAUUGACGGGGCCCGGCACAAGCGGUGGAGCAUGUGGUUUAAUUUCGACGCAACGCGAAGAACCUUACCAAGGCUUGACAUCCUACGAAUCCUGAGGAAACUUAGGAGUGCCCUUCGGGGAGCGUAGAGACAGGUGGUGCAUGGUUGUCGU